rnacentral:rRNA from 1 species
UACAGAGGUCCCAAGCGUUGUUCGGAUUCAUUGGGCGUAAAGGGUGCGUAGGUGGCGCCGUAAGUCAGGUGUGAAAUCUCGGGGCUUAACUCCGAAACUGCAUUUGAUACUGCGGUGCUUGAGGACUGGAGAGGAGAGUGGAAUUCCUGGUGUAGCGGUGAAAUGCGCAGAUAUCAGGAAGAACACCCGUGGCGAAGGCGGCUCUCUGGUACGUGACUGACGCUGAGACGCGAAAGCGUGGGGAGCGAACAGG